CUUAUCACAUCUUCAGUCUGCUCCUCCAAAUAUGGCGGCCAUACACCUAUGGGCUUGCACUGUUGCGUGGAGUAUGACAAACUCAGAUUUUUUUUUUCUU